GAUGAACGCUGGCGGCGUGCCUAAAACAUGCAAGUCGAGCGGUAAGGCCCCUUCGGGGGUACACGAGCGGCGGACGGGUGAGUAACACGUGGGAAUCCACCCCAAACUGAGGGAUAAGCACCGGAAGCGGUGUCUAAUACCGCAUAUGGUCUUCGGAUUAAAGCUUCGGCGGUUUGGGAAGAGCCCGCGCAAGAUUAGCUAGUUGGUAAGGUAAUGGCUUACCAAGGCGACGAUCUUUAGCUGGUUUGAGAGGAUGAUCAGCCACACUGGAACUGAGACACGGUCCAGACUCCUACGGGAGGCAGCAGUUAGGAAUCUUCCACAAUGGGCGAAAGCCUGAUGGAGCAACGCCGCGUGCAGGAUGAAUGCCUUCGGGUUGUAAACUGCUUUUUUAUGGGACGAUUAUGACGGUACCAUAAGAAUAAGCCACGGCAAACUUCGUGCCAGCAGCCGCCGUAA
rnacentral:rRNA from 1 species